rnacentral:rRNA from 1 species
GAUGAACGCUGGCGGCGUGCCUAAUACAUGCAAGUCGAGCGAACGGACGAGAAGCUUGCUUCUCUGAUGUUAGCGGCGGACGGGUGAGUAACACGUGGAUAACCUACCUAUAAGACUGGUAUGACUUCGGGAAACCGGCGCUAAUACCGGAUAAUAUUUUGAACCGCAUGGUUCAAAAGUGAAAGACGGUCUUUCUGUCACUUAUAGAUUGAUCCGCGCUGCAUUAGCUAGUUGGUAAGGUAACGGCUUACCAAGGCAACGAUGCAUAGCCGACCUGAGAGGGUGAUCGGCCACACUGGAACUGAGAAACGGUACAGACGCCUACGGGAGGCAGCAGUAGGGAAUCUUACGCAAUGGGGGAAAGCCUGACGGAGCAACGCCGCGUGAGUGAUGAAGGUCUUAGGAUCGGAAAACUCUGUUAUUAGGGAAGAACAUAUGUGUAAGUAACUGGGCAGAUCUUGACGGUACCUAAUCAGAAAGCCACGGCUAACUACGUG